rnacentral:piRNA from 1 species
UCCUUACAAGGUUUACUCUCGCUG